AUGAAUGAAACAAAAACUGGGAUUCUGUUGACGCUUAAUUCUGUGUUGGAGCAGGGAAAUUACAAUGUUGUCCUAAGGGUUUAUGAUACCAAUGACAUGUAUCAGGACAACUCCAUUCAAGCAACAGUGUGUGACUGCAAAGGAGAUAAAUUUAUAUGCAAAAAAAUGAUGGCGGGGAUCCCACUAUCAUUAACUCUUGGAAUCAUGGCAGCCAUCUUGGCUCUGCUGUGUAUGUAAUUUAAUCAUUUCAUUCAUGCAUUUAAAGUGAAUAAAGGGGCCAUAUCCUACACAUUUUAAUAUUAAAACUAUUCAAGGUUUCUUCAAAACACAAAUGUUACCUUUGACCUUUAGACAUGGUGUUUUUGCUGCAGUAUCUUUCAAAUGCAUAGCAUCCUUAAAUAUAAAUCUGUAUGUAUAUAAAAUGAGUAACAGUGCUUAGCUAUGGGUUGCUGCCACAUCCAAUGUAGUUGACAGUGUCUCAUGACCUUAGUUAUCGAAGUGAAGACACUCUCUACAGCUCAGUUCGAUACUAAAUAUGCACAGGGAAUGUUAGGUAAUUUGGAUACUUUUAAAGACACUUCAGCUGUAACUAUCACUGCCUUAUUGCCACAGCCCUAUCAUCUUGUAGCCCAAGACUGGUUGCCCACUGAGGCUUAGUAGGGUUGAGCCUGGACAGUACCUGGAUGGGAGACCUCCUGGGAAAAUUGGCUUGCUGCUGGAAGAGGUGUUAUUGAGACCAGCAGGGGGUGCUCAUCCUGUGGUCUGUGUGGGUCCUAAUGCCCCACUAUAGUGACGGGGACACUAUACUGUGUGUGUGUACAGUCGUGGCCAAAAGUUUUGAGAAUUACAUAAAUAUUAGUUUUCAAAAAGUUUGCUGCUAAACUGCUUUUAGAUCUUUGUUUCAGUUGUUUCUGUGAUGUACUGAAAUAUAAUUACAAGCACUUCAUAUGUUUCAAAGGCUUUUAUCGACAAUUACAUGACAUUUAUGCAAAUAGUCAGUAUUUGCAGUGUUGGCCCUUCUUUUUCAGGACCUCUGCAAUUCGACUGGGCAUGCUCUCAAUCAACUUCUGGGCCAAAUCCUGACUGAUAGCAACCCAUUCUUUCAUAAUAACUUCUUGGAGUUUGUCAGAAUUAGUGGGUUUUUGUUUGUCCACCCGCCUCUUGAGGGACCACAAGUUCUCAAUGGGAUUAAGAUCUGGGAGUUUUCAGGUCCAUGGCCCAAAAUUUCAACAUUCUGGUCCCUAGAGCCACUUAGUUAUCACUUUUGCCUUAUGGCACGGUGCUCCAUCGUGCUGGAAAAUGCAUUGUUCUUCACCAAACUGUUGUUGGGUUGUUGGAAGAAGUUGCUGUUGGAGGGUGUUUUGGUACCAUUCUUUAUUCAUGGCUGUGUUUUUGGGCAGAAUUGUGAGUGAGCCCACUCCCUUG
rnacentral:lncRNA from 1 species